UACGUAGGGUGCAAGCGUUGUCCGGAAUUAUUGGGCGUAAAGGGCGCGUAGGCGGCCAUGCGCGUCUUCCGUGAAAUCCCUCGGCUUAACUGAGGACGUGCGGAAGAAACUGCAAGGCUCGAGUCCGGGAGAGGGGGGUGGAAUUCCCAGUGUAGCGGUGAAAUGCGUAGAUAUUGGGAGGAACACCGGUGGCGAAGGCGGCCCCCUGGACCGGUACUGACGCUGAGGCGCGAAAGCGUGGGUAGCAAACGGG
rnacentral:rRNA from 1 species